rnacentral:lncRNA from 1 species
GUCGAAGGUGAUGACAGUGAGGUGGUCCACGGAGAUGGGCUCAUGUGGGUUGUCUACCCUUGAUUGCUCCUACUUUGACGUCAAACAGAACCGAAAGCUCCUCCUCGAGGUGGAUCUAACCUUAUCGGCUAAUUAGCUCUCCCGCUUUUGCGUAGAACCCAGGGCAAGCCUCCCUCAAAGAACUCCUGAACUCCCGCUUUGAACCGGCCAUCGCAACCGCCGCCAUCGCCUUCCUUGUCUUCCUCCUCUUCGUAGCCAUGACUUGGACCAUACGUAUCAGACAUAGCAUCAAACACUCGGCAGUAAAAGCUUCUGCGAAGACAAGGUUGGCACCAAGACCCACCGUUAAGCGGGGCCGGCAUGGUGCGCUCACCGUUAAGCCGCUGCAUGUGAUGCCACAAGCUACAUGGGUGGGAACGAGUGCUCCCCAAUACGGUGGCCUACGUCGAGGAGCUUCGGCUGUCUUUGGUGGAGAGGAAUCAUCUCGACCGUCCAUGGGUCGGAUGGUGGGUUGGGUGGGUCCAUGACCGCCCUUGUCAUCUCGCUCUCGUUUGGCUUCAUAUGGUCACAUGGAUCUCUCUCUGUCAUAAUGGGUGUGGAUCAGAUAUAUACUGCAAAUUUGGAUCCGUAUGGCCCACAGAAUCUGGGAACUCCCGACAUCGUCAUGUGGGCUUCAGUGCCACAAGCUUGUGUUGUAGAUGGAGCUGCUCCAGUGGCUUCUUCGGCC